AUAGUGUCAAUAUGAUUGCUACCAAUUUUUCUUUGGAUGUCUGGUCAAAUUCAGUUGUGAAUCCUUCUGGUCCUGGAUUUUUUUUUUUGUUUUUGUUGGUAACUUUUAAAUUACCAUUUCAAUCUUGGUGCUUGUUAUUGGUCUGUUCAGAAUUUCUAUUUGUUCCUGGUUUAAUCUAGGAGAGUUGUAUAUUUCUAGAAAUUUACCCACCUCCUCUGAGUUUUCUAGUUUAUGCACGCAAAGGUGUUCAUAGUAGCCUUGAAUGAUCUUUUGUAUUUCUGUGGUAUUGGUUGUAAUAUUUCCUGUUUCAUUUCUAAUUGAGCUUAUUUGGAUCUUCUCUCUUCUUUUCAUAAUUAAUCUUGCUAAUGGUCUAUAAAUUUUAUUUAUCUAUUCAAAAAACCAGCUUUUUGUUUCAUUUAUCUUUUGUAUUUUUUUGUUUUGUUUUGUUUCAAUUUCAUUUGGUUCUCCUCUGAUCUUGGUUAUUUCUCUUCUGCUGCUGGGUUUAUUGCUUCCUUGAUUGGCUUAAUAAUCGACGUCUGAAUUCUUUUUCUGGCAAUUCAGAGAUUUCUUCUUAGUUUGAAUCCAUUGCUGGUGAGCUAGUGUGAUCUUUUGGGGUUGUUAAAAAAGCUUAUUUUGUCAUUUAACCAGAAUUGUUUUUCUGGUUCCUUCCCAUUGGGGUAGACUAUAUCAGAUUCUUUUGUCCCACGGGGGUGCUUUCUUGAUGUGGUACUCUCCCCUCUCCCCUAGGGAUGGGGCUUCCUGAGCUGAACUGCAGUGAUUACUAUUUCUCUUCUGGAUCUAGCCACCCAGAGGAGCUACCAGGCUCUGAGCUAGGACUGGAGAGUGUCUGCAAAGAGUCCUGUGAUGUGAUCCAUCUUCAGGUCUCUCAGCCAUCGACACCAGCACCUACUCUGGUGGAGGUAUCAAAGGAGUGAAGUAAACUCUGUCAGAGUCCUUGGUUGUAUUUCUGUUAUGUACACAGGUUUUGUGCUGGUUGGCUUCUAAUCAGGAGGUGGAGCUUUCAAGAGCUUAUUAGCUGUAGUUGUACAGGGAGGAUACAAACUUGCCCUAGGGUCACAUUUGGAUAAGUAUUCAAGUUUCUCAGGUGGUGGUCAGGGCCACAGAGCUCCUAAGAGACUAUUUCCUUUGUCUUCAGCUACCCAGGCAAGUAGACAAAGACCAUCAGGUGGGGGCAGGGUUAGGUGUAUCUGAGCUCAGACUCUCCCUGGGUGGGGUUUGUUGUGGCUGCUCUGGGGGUUGGGGGUGUGGUUCCCAGGCCAAUGGAGUUAUGUUCCCAGGGGAUUAUGGCUGCCUCCACUGCAUCACAAAGGUAUCCAGGGAAGGUGGGGGGAAAGCCAGCAGCCACAGGCCUCAUCUAGCUCCCAAGCAGCCUACAGCCUUUUGAAAGGCCAGUCUUACUCUCCCAACAGCACUGAGUUUAUUCCCAGGCAGCCAGUGAGCAGGGCUGUGAAUUUACCCCAGGCUACAAGCCUCCUAGUUGAGAAAGCAAGCUGACUCACAGUUCCUUGGCUGUCCAAUGGAGCCUGCAGUGGCAAUCCACCUCCUUCAAAGGGUCUGUGGCUUCUCUUGGCUUUCCUGAUGGUGUCAGAAGUGGGAUCCCAAGCAGAGCUUCUAGGGACCCCCAGGAGUGCCAAGUGAACAUGCAAGCUACCUUCAGGACCCACUUGUGUCCAUGGAUCUCUCAAAGCAGCUGAGGAUUGUGGGGCAACCAUCUUGUCCAGAGACCACGUAUUGAAACUCCUAGACUGAGGUUGGAUUAAAGAUGAUGGGGCCCCCAGUGCAAAAACAUACCAAAUUGUAAAGGCUAUCAACACUAUGAAGAAACUUCAUCAACUAAUGAGCAAAAUAACCAGCUAGCAUCAUAAUAACAGGAUCAAAUUCACACAUAACAAUAUUAGCCUUAAAUGUAAAUGGGCUAAAGGGCCCAAUUAAAAGACACAGACUGGCAAAUUGGAUAGAGUCAAGACCCAUCAGUGUACUGUAUUCAGGAGACCCAUCUCAUGUGCAAACACACACAUAGGCUCAAAAUAAAGGGAUCGAGGAAUAUUUACCAAGCAAGUGGAAAGCAAUAAAAAAAGCAAGGGUUACAAUCCUAGUCUCUGAUAAAAUAGACUUUAAAACAACAAAGAUCAAAAGAGACAAAAAAGGGCAUUACAUAAUGGUAAAAGGAUCAAUGCAACAAGAAGAGCUAACUAUCCUAAAAAUAUGUGUACACAAUACAAGAGCACCCAAAUUCAUAAAGCAAGUCCUUAUAGACAUACAAAGAGACUUAGACUCUCACACAAUCAUAGUGGGAGAUUUUAACACCCCACGAUGAAUAUUAGACAGAUCGGUGAGACAGAUAAUUAACAAGGAUAUUCAGGACUUGAACUCAGCUCUAGACCAAGCAGACCUAACAGACAUCUACAGAACUCUCCACCACAAAUCAACAGACUAUACAUUCUUCUCAGCACCACAUCACACUUAUUCUAAAAUUGAUCACAUAAUUGGAAGUAAAACACUCCUCAGCAAAUGUAAAAGAAUAGAAAUCAUAAAAAGGUCUUUCAGACCACAG